rnacentral:rRNA from 1 species
GACGAACGCUGGCGGCGUGCUUAACACAUGCAAGUCGAACGGGGCGAUUUGAAAGCUUGCUUUUAAUGAGCCUAGUGGCAAACGGGUGAGUAACGCGUAGGCAACCUGCCCUCAGGAUGGGGACAACGGCCCGAAAGGACCGCUAAUACCGAAUGAUGUAUUUUAAGCGCAUGCUUGAAAUACCAAAGGCGGAGCAAUCCGUCACCUGAGGAUGGGCCUGCGUCUGAUUAGUUAGUUGGUGAGGUAACGGCUCACCAAGGCGACGAUCAGUAGCCGGACUGAGAGGUUGAACGGCCACAUUGGGACUGAGACACGGCCCAGACUCCUACGGGAGGCAGCAGUGAGGGAUAUUGCACAAUGGAGGAAACUCUGAUGCAGCGAUGCCGCGUGGAGGAAGAAGGUUUUCGGAUUGUAAACUCCUGUUUCGAGGGACGAUAAUGACGGUACCUCGGGAGGAAGCUCCGGCUAACUACGUGCCAGCAGCCGCGGUAUAC